rnacentral:tRNA from 1 species
GGUUUGGUGGUCUAGUAGUAUGAUUCACCCUUAGGGUUACAUUUCGCAAUGAGAUGAGAACGAUCUGGGUGAGGUCCCGGGUUCAAUUCCCGGCCAGACCC